UACGGAGGGGGCUAGCGUUGUUCGGAAUUACUGGGCGUAAAGCGCACGUAGGCGGACUGUUAAGUCGGGGGUGAAAUCCUGGGGCUCAACCCCAGAAUUGCCUUCGAUACUGGCAGCCUUGAGUACGGGAGAGGUGAGUGGAAUUCCCAGUGUAGAGGUGAAAUUCGUAGAUAUUGGGAAGAACACCAGUGGCGAAGGCGGCUCACUGGCCCGUAACUGACGCUGAGGUGCGAAAGCGUGGGGAGCAAACAGG
rnacentral:rRNA from 1 species